CAAUUACACAAAAUUCAGUUUCUUUACAACAAUACUUAAUAAAGAGGCAGCACAUUAAAAUAAAAGGAAUGUUUAGGAACCCAGGGGAGAUGAAGCUGUCAGACAGCUAAGGCAGGCCCUCUCUCGGGAGCAGACUUCCCUGCUCUGGUUCUCUGAUAGAAGAGAAAGCUUCUCUUUCUAUCUCUGCAGACUCUCCCUCAGUUCCCUGUGGAUGCAGAUGUCAGAGAGGGAAAUACGCCUACUGCAGACUUCUCCUCCUGAAGGUGUUGGCCUCCUUCUGGUUCAUGGGACAUUCGCCUUCUUCCUUCCCAACUUAAAAUAUCGUGAUAAAGGAUUGGAGACCUCAGACCAAGAAGAGAGAAUCCGGUGACAGAAAGUACUUAGGACUACACCAACCAACUGCCCAUUCACUUGAGUAUCCCUCUUGAGAACCACUCUGGUCUGAAUGUGCACGCACCCCCCCCCCGGAAUUUGUAGGUUGGAAUCUUAACUCCUGAGGAGAUGUUAUCGGGGAUGGGGCCUUUGGGAGGCGAUUAGGUCAGGAGGGUGGAGUCCUCAGGAAUAGGAUCAGUGGCCUUCCAAGAAAGGCCCGAGAGAGCUUCCUUGCCCCUUCUGCCACGGGUGGGUAGGGGGGGGGCACACAUAUGGCUGUCUAUGAGGAAAGAGGCUCUUGCCAUUGAGCCUGCCACUGCCUUGCCCUUGGGCUUCCCAGCCUCUAGAACUGUGAGAAAUGAAUUUUUGUUGUUUACAGGCCACCCUGUUUGUAGUAUUUUGCUAUAAGAGCCCAAACAGCCCAAAAGACUAGCAAAUAUAAUAGUCCUAAUAAUUGUCCCAAAAGACAAGUGCCAUGGAAGGUAUUUGGGGAUUUGGACAGGGGUGGGACAUUCGGGUGUUGAUUCAUUUUUUUUUUCUUUUUUCUUUUUUUCGGGUGUUGAUUCAAUCAGUGGGGGUAUGACUGUCUGCCUGCUGGAGCCCUUGCCUUCUGUUGGAGGUCUCCUGUGGGUAUUUCUGUGCAGGACGUGUGCUCAGCCCUUGCUGGCUGCAAUGACUCAGUUACGGCCUGCAGGCAAGUUUCCACAUCCUGGUCUGCCAUGACUUGUUCUGGCCCACCUGUCUGGUUUCAUAUUUGGAAUUCUUCCCUACAUACUGAUUGCUACAACCACCCUGGACUGUUUUCUGCCUCCUAGAUACCCUGUGUUCUCCGUUCCCCUUUGUUACUGCACUGCUCUCUGUCUAGAAGCUUCUGGGCACCUCCUCCUCUCUCUUCCAGGCAAAUUCCUGCUGCUUCUUCCAGUCUCAGUGCAAAUUCUAGCACCAUUAAACUUUGCACGAUUCUCUCAAACACGCAGGGGCAGGUUUCUCCGUGCGCA
rnacentral:lncRNA from 12 species